rnacentral:rRNA from 1 species
UACGGAGGAGGCAAGCGUUAUCCGGAAUUAUUGGGCGUAAAGCGUCCGUAGGUGGUUUAGUAAGUCUGCUGUUAAAGCGCGGGGCUUAACUCCGUAUCGGCAGUGGAAACUACUAGACUAGAGUGUGGUAGGGGUAGAGGGAAUUCCCAGUGUAGCGGUGAAAUGCGUAGAUAUUGGGAAGAACACCGGUGGCGAAGGCGCUCUACUGGGCCAUAACUGACACUGAUGGACGAAAGCUAGGGAGCGAAAGGG